AUUGAACGCUGGCGGCAGGCCUAACACAUGCAAGUCGAACGAGUGGCGGACGGGUGAGUAAUGUCUGGGAAACUGCCUGAUGGAGGGGGAUAACUACUGGAAACGGUAGCUAAUACCGCAUACCAUCAGAUGUGCCCAGAUGGGAUUAGCUUGUUGGUGGGGAAACGGCUCACCAAGGCUACGAGCCCUAGCUGGUCUGAGAGGAUGACCAGCAACACUGGAACUGAGACACGGCCCAGACUCCUACGGGAGGAAGUGGGGGGGAAUAUUGCACAAUGGGCGCACGCCUGAGGCAGCCAUGCCGCGUGUAUGAAGAGGGCUUUCGGGUUGUAAAGUACUUUCAGCGGGGAGGCGUUACCCGCAGAAGAAGCACCGGCUAACUCCGUGCCAGCAGCCGCGUUAAUU
rnacentral:rRNA from 1 species